rnacentral:rRNA from 1 species
UACGUAGGGUGCGAGCGUUGUCCGGAAUUAUUGGGCGUAAAGAGCUUGUAGGCGGUUUGUCGCGUCUGCUGUGAAAAUCCGGGGCUCAACCCCGGACUUGCAGUGGGUACGGGCAGACUAGAGUGUGGUAGGGGAGACUGGAAUUCCUGGUGUAGCGGUGAAAUGCGCAGAUAUCAGGAGGAACACCGGUGGCGAAGGCGGAUCUCUGGGCCUGUUCUGACGCUGGAGGCGCGAAAGCUAGGGGAGCGAACAGG